CAACAUAUAUUAUUUAGCACUCAAACAAGCCAAUCUAGAGGGAAGUUGUUUACAUAAGUGAUAUGAAGCGGUUCAGCACGAACUUUUCGUGCCAAAGUAUCCGCCUUGACAUUUGCAUUACGAAAAAUUAAAGAUAAAGAAAAAGAAGUGAACUCUUCCUUGUCGCUCUGAAACUCCUCCAAAUAUGCUGAAAAUGCUGGUCAUUCGGUUGGAGAAGACACCAUCUUCACCAGGUCUGAACAGUCUGUUAAAAAAACUACUUUUUGGUUGUCGGCACCAAUCAUACACUUCAUUGCCCAGAGUAAAGCUUCGACUUCGGUAU
rnacentral:sRNA from 1 species